UGUGAACGCUGGCGGUAGGCCUAACACAUGCAAGUCGAACGGCAGCACAGUAAGAGCUUGCUCUUACGGGUGGCGAGUGGCGGACGGGUGAGGAAUACAUCGGAAUCUACUUUUUCGUGGGGGAUAACGUAGGGAAACUUACGCUAAUACCGCAUACGACCUACGGGUGAAAGCAGGGGAUCUUCGGACCUUGCGCGAUUGAAUGAGCCGAUGUCGGAUUAGCUAGUUGGCGGGGUAAAGGCCCACCAAGGCGACGAUCCGUAGCUGGUCUGAGAGGAUGAUCGGCCACACUGGAACUGAGACACGGUCCAGACUCCUACGGGAGGCAGCAGUGGGGAAUAUUGGACAAUGGGCGCAAGCCUGAUCCAGCCAUACCGCGUGGGUGAAGAAGGCCUUCGGGUUGUAAAGCCCUUUUGUUGGGAAAGAAAAGCAGCAGGUUAAUACCCCGCUGUUCUGACGGUACCCAAAGAAUAAGCACCGGCUAACUUCGUG
rnacentral:rRNA from 1 species